AUUGAACGCUGGCGGCAUGCUUUACACAUGCAAGUCGAACGGUAACAGGCCGCAAGGUGCUGACGAGUGGCGAACGGGUGAGUAAUAUAUCGGAACGUGCCCAGUCGUGGGGGAUAACGUAGCGAAAGCUACGCUAAUACCGCAUACGAACUAUGGAUGAAAGCGGGGGAUCGCAAGACCUCGCGCGAUUGGAGCGGCCGAUAUCAGAUUAGGUAGUUGGUGAGGUAAAGGCUCACCAAGCCGACGAUCUGUAGCUGGUCUGAGAGGACGACCAGCCACACUGGGACUGAGACACGGCCCAGACUCCUACGGGAGGCAGCAGUGGGGAAUUUUGGACAAUGGGCGCAAGCCUGAUCCUGCAAUGCCGCGCGCAGGAUGAAGGCCUUCGGGUUGUAAACUGCUUUUGUACGGAGCGAAACGGCUUCCACUAAUACUGGGGGCUAAUGACGGUACCGUAAGAAUAAGCACCGGCUAACUACGUGCCAGCAGCCGCCGUAAGAC
rnacentral:rRNA from 1 species